rnacentral:ncRNA from 1 species
UGGGGUUGUGGGAGAGCACAAUAUAAGCUCUGUGCUGCUAGGCGAAGCGGUUGAGUCCUGCACCCUAGAUGGUGAGAGUCCAGUAGCCAAAAGCAUCAUUGGGUUAUGAUCUAACCCAAGUAGCAUGGGGCACAUGGAAUCCUGUGUGAAUCAACAAGGACCACCUUGCAAGGCUAAAUACUCCUGGGUGACCGAUAGCGAAGUAGUACCGUGAGGGAAAGGUAAAAAGAAUCCCCACCGGGGAGUGAAAUAGAACAUGAAACCGUAAGCUCCCAAGUAGUGGGAGGAAAAUGAUAUCUUUGACCACAUGCCUAUUGAAGAAUGAGCCGAUGACUUAUAGGCAGUGGCUUGGUUAAGGGAACCCACCGGAGCCGUAGUGAGAGCAAGUCUUCAUGGGGAAAUUGUCACUGCUUAUGGACCCAAACCUGGGUGAUCUAUCCAUGACUAGGAUGAAGCUUGGGUGAAACUAAGUGGAGGUCCGAACCGAUUGAUGUUGAAAAAUCAGAAAAUGAAUCGUGGUUAGGGGUGAAAUGCCACUCGAACCCAGAGCUAGCUAGUUCUCCCCGAAAUGCAUUGAGGUACAGCAGUUGACUGUACCAUCUAGGGGUAAAGCACUGUUUCGGUACGGGCCGCGAGAGUGGUACCAAAUCGAGGCAAACUUUGAAUACUAGAUUUCCCCAAUAAAAGGGGUAAAGGUCAGACAAUGAGACGAUGGGGGAUAAGCUUCAUCGUCGAGAGGGAAAAAACCUAGAUCAUCAGUUAAGGCCCCUAAAUGACCGCUCAGUGAUGAAGUAAGUAUGAGUGAAAAUACAACCAGGAGGUUUUCCUAGAAGCAGCCAACCUUGAAAGAGUGUGUAAUAGCUCACUGAUCGAGCACUCUUGUGUCGAAGAUGAAUGGGACUAAGCGAUCUGCUGAAGAUGUGGGAUGUAAAAAUACAUCGGUAGGGGAGCAUUCCACCUCAGAGGGAAGCACCAACGCUAGCAUGUGUGGACGAAGCAGAAGCAAGAAUGUCGGCUUGAGUAACGCAAACAUUGGUGAGAAUCCAAUGCCCCAAAAACCUAAGGGUUCCUCCGCAAGGUUCAUCCACAGAGGGUGAGUCAAGGCCUAAGAUCAGGCUGAAAGGUGUAGUCGAUGGAAAACAGGUUAAUAUUCAUGUACUACCCCUUGUUGGUCUCGAGGGAUGGAGGAGGCUAGGUUAGCCAAAAGAUGGUUAUCGGUUCAAGGACGCAAGGUGACCCUAUAUACAUUGAUUCAAAGGUAAAAGAAGAAUCAAAUAUAGGUGUGUACAA